rnacentral:rRNA from 1 species
GACGAACGCUGGCGGCGUGCUUAACACAUGCAAGUCGAACGGUAAGGCCCUUCGGGGUACACGAGUGGCGAACGGGUGAGUAACACGUGGGUGAGCUGCUCUGCACUUCGGGAUGAGCCUGGGAAACUGGGUCUAUUACCGGCGAGGACCACUGCAUACAUGGGGGGCGGGGGAAAGCUUGUGCGGUGUGGGAUGGGCCCGCGGCCUAUCAGGUUGUUGGUGGGGUGAUGGCCUACCAAGGCGACGACGGGUAGCCGGCCUGAGAGGGUGACCGGCCACACUGGGACUGAGAUACGGCCCAGACUCCUACGGGAGGCAGCAGUGGGGAAUAUUGCACAAUGGGCGCAAGCCUGAUGCAGCGACGCCGCGUGAGGGAUGACGGCCUUCUGGUUGUAAACCUCUUUCAGCACCGACGAAGCGCAAGUGACGGUAGGUGCAGAAGAAGGACCGGCCAACUACGUGCCAGCCGCCGCCGUAA